AACGAACGCUGGCGGCAGGCCUAACACAUGCAAGUCGAGCGAUCGCAGCAAUGCGGGAGCGGCAGACGGGUGAGUAACACGUGGGAACGUACCCUUCGGUUCGGAAUAACUCAGGGAAACUUGAGCUAAUACCGGAUACGUCCGAGAGGAGAAAGAUUCAUCGCCGAAGGAUCGGCCCGCGUCUGAUUAGCUAGUUGGCGAGGUAACGGCUCACCAAGGCGACGAUCAGUAGCUGGUCUGAGAGGAUGAUCAGCCACACUGGGACUGAGACACGGCCCAGACGCCUACGGGAGGCAGCAGUGGGGAAUAUUGGACAAUGGGCGAAAGCCUAAUCCAGCCAUGCCGCGUGAGUGAUGACGGCCUUAGGGUUGUAAAGCUCUUUUACCCGGGAAGAUAAUGACGGUACCGGGAGAAUAAGCCCCGGCUAACUUCGUGCCAGCCGCCGCGGUAAAAC
rnacentral:rRNA from 1 species